rnacentral:rRNA from 1 species
GACGAACGCUGGCGGCGUGCUUAACACAUGCAAGUCGAACGGUGAACGAGGGAGCUUGCUCCCUCCGGAUCAGUGGCGAACGGGUGAGUAACACGUGAGCAAUCUGCCCCGAACUCUGGGAUAAGCGUUGGAAACGACGUCUAAUACCGGAUACGACGCGGGAGGGCAUCCUCUCCGCGUGGAAAGAACUUCGGUUCGGGAUGAGCUCGCGGCCUAUCAGCUUGUUGGUGAGGUAACGGCUCACCAAGGCGACGACGGGUAGCCGGCCUGCGAGGGUGACCGGCCACACUGGGACUGAGACACGGCCCAGACUCCUACGGGAGGCAGCAGUGGGGAAUAUUGCACAAUGGGCGCAAGCCUGAUGCAGCAGCGCCGCGUGAGGGACGACGGCCUUCGGGUUGUAAACCUCUUUUAGCAGGGAAGAAGCGAAAGUGACGGUACCUGCAGAAAAAGCACCGGCUAACUACGUG